GUGGUUAACCCGGUGAACCGGAGCGACAGGCAUGAGGAAGACUCGUUAAUGUUCAUGAGAGCGGCUAUUUAGCUCGUUCAUUCUGCUAAAACAACAAUAUUUAAUAGUUCACGCUUCAGUUCGAGGCGGUUAUAACCUUCAUCUCUUCAGUGGAGCUGGAUAUCAGAGGCCAACGGCAGCAGCGCGAGAAGGCAAGGAGAGAUGUCGUCGUCACACUAUUCGUCCUCCCGUAGUUCAUCUCGGGCCACCGACUGUAAAGUUUACGUGGGUGACUUGGGCAAUGGUGCUGCCAAGGGGGAGCUGGAGCGAGCAUUCAGUUAUUAUGGCCCACUGAGAACCGUCUGGGUGGCCAGAAACCCGCCUGGGUUUGCCUUUGUGGAGUUUGAGGAUCCCAGAGAUGCAGAAGAUGCUGUGAAAGGCAUGGAUGGAAAGAUCCUUUGUGGUUCCCGUGUUCGUGUGGAGAUGUCAACAGGCAUGUCGAGGAAGGGCCGUGGGCGCCCCAGCCGACGCCAGUUCGACCCACAAGAUCGGUGUUACCAGUGUGGGGACCGGGGCCACUACGCUUAUGACUGCUACCGCUUUAGCAAGAGAGGAGGCCGUCGCAGCAGGUCUCGCUCUCAUUCUCGAUCUCGCUCCAGGUCCAGGUCCCGCGGACACCGUUAUCGCUCUCGCUCCCGCAGCCGUAGCAACAGCAGGAGCCGUCGGCGAUCUCCGUCCUACUCCAGACGCAGGAGCAGGUCAGGCUCCCAAGCCCGGUCCAAGUCCAGGACUCCAGUGAGAAGUCGUUCCAGAUCUCGAUCUCGGUCCGGCUCUAAGCCCAGAAGACGCUCUGCCUCCCGCUCCCGCUCACGAUCGAAGUCAGCCAAUCACAAGAGGAACAGCCAGAACUAGGUGCUCCAUUCUAGGCAGGGAAUGAAUAAAUAGACCCUCCUUCCACCCGGGAGCAUCAUGCUGCCACCAAACUUGACGGUGAGAUGGACGAGCACCGAGACCCCUCCACCUCCUCGACACCGAGAGAUCUGCAUCUUCAGCCAUGUCUUCUGUCUCUGCUGUUGGCCGGCAGUGGAGUGGGGGAGGGGUAGAGGACAGUGACUGGGGCCCUCUGUCUGGUGUAGGGAAGUAUAAGUAGAUGAAAGAUUAGACCUCUCUCUGUCUUGUGCUCUCUUUUCCAACUCUUGAUUGCGCUGCACUGUUAAAACUUAACUCAGAGUGGCUCUAAAGGCCCAGACACACCAAGCCGACAUCAAAGAACUAGCGGCGAUAAAGGCCGCUGUUGCGUCGCUUCAGUCUCGACAAGUUGCGCUUGAAGACACCGCGAAGACUACAGCAGACGGCCAGUUAGCACGUAUGUUCUGCGCCUGUAUGAGAGGAGAUAACUCUCCACACCAGCAGGCGGCGGUAGUUGUCAUUCUAAAAGUGAAACCGGAAGACCUAGGAUGGCGAAUAAACAAGCUGUUGUUAUGAUACGUACAUGAAACAAUCAGCAUUUGCCGACCAUUUUCACACCACUCUCACUCACACUCAGAGCCUUCUGUGUGGGCCAUCUUGACUUAACUCGUUAGCUUGCGUUCCUCACGUCCGUUUCUCUUCUCGUGCACUGAUUCGUUUAAGCUGAACAGCCAAUCGGAGGGAUUUCUCUCACCGACGGGCUCUUCUGCCGAUUCAACAUGCUGAAUCGGCCGAAAAACCUCCGACUAGAGCCGACGGUGCAGGACACACCACAAAAACUAGACUGACAGACGCUCACCGUCUGCCCCAAACUGUCCGACAGCCGACCGACGGCUUGGUGUGUGUCAGGGCCUUUCUCACUUGAUGUUGAAAAGAGAGCACAUGAAAGAGAGCCUGUAAACUGUUCAGACUCUUAGCAGCUAAAUGCACCCAUAUCCUCUGUACUCUUGCUUUCCUUUGAUCACCAUAGAUGAAAUUAUUUAGGCUGACAGAGCAAGAGAGAAAAUUGUAUUUAUUGGUUUUGACAAGUGUUAAGUAAAGAUGAUCAGUAUUGUAAAUGUUUUUAUUUUAAAUUUAAAUUCCCUAUCUUGAAUUUGGCUAGAUGAAGAGAAAUCUCCAGAAACAUAUUAGCUGACAAAACGACACCAUUGGUGUGAUUUAAGUUAAGCAUCUUUGCAGCACAGUUUUGUUUAUUUUUCAUAUUUUCUUUAAAGCGUGUGGUGGGAGCUGAGCACUGCACUGACACCACAGCUGAUCCCAGGCCCAGGGUCUGCCAGCUGGCGGUGUGUACGUCCUGCGGGAGGGUGACUAAGCGCUGACCUGAGAUCAGCCUUCGCCUGCAUCUGGUGUUAGACAGCGAGAAAGAGGUCGACCGACCGACCGAUCCCUCCCCACAGUGAAUGGGUGACCGUCUGUUCAACCGACGCACACGCUCAGACGAGAUCAGCCGUGCACACAUAGAGUCGUUCUACUAGAGUCACCCAGCCAGCCAGCCAGCCAGCCUUCAGACGUACCAGAGGGCUGACCCACACAGAUCAGAGUUCGACCACUACGUUUUUUAAUCCAUUACCUACCUACCAGACCCCCUACCUACCAGAGUUCUUCGGCCUCUGUCUUAGCUUCUGAAAGUGAGAGAAAGAGAGCUGACGAGAGAUCAGUCUUCAAGAGCCUUCACAGCGCAGUGUCUCUCCAAGUUGUAGUCAUCCGUCCUACAGUCCUUUCAUCCUUCGCUUCUCUGUACUUGUUGUUUCUGCCACUGUCUCCAAAGUCGUUCCCGUUCAGCAACUCCACACCGAAGCGCUACGCCAGCAGACGACUGAGUGAAGAAGACUUUUUAGUUGCUUAACAGACAGACCCUCAACUCCUGCACUCUGUCUGCUUUUACAGCCCUACAGCCGCGGUUUUUUUUGUACCUGUCUGUCUAGUCCUGGACGUUUUUUAAGUUUAAUUUUCUCCCCAGGACUGUAGUCUUCGUGCAGCCUCAGAAUGUUGAAGAAUUAGUCAGAAUAGCAGACAAAAAUCAGUUUCCGUUCGAUAGAGAUUGUUUGAAGUGUUGCUGCUGCUGCUGCAUCUUCCUUCUAUAAUGUUGCGUAGCAAUUGUUAAGAAGCAACACCUGUGUUGAGGUAAUACUGAAUGACUUUUAGCAGUGAUUUGAGCAGCUUGUACAGUAAAUUUUCAGUGGAAGAAAGCCCAUUUGAUGCAGCUCUUGAGGGUGAAGACGUUGCAUUGAAAAACUGCUUUUAUUCCCUAAAAUUUCAAAACCUCAAAAUAUGUUUUCCCUAUGGAGAAUCAGCAAUACUAUCAAUUUUUUUGUAUUGUGCUCCAAUUAGAUUUUUGAGUUCAAAUGCUGUUUCCACUCAUGAUGGCAUAAGGAGGUAGUUGCUGGCCCGCAUGCCUUUAAAUAUGACGUCACAUUCCUACUGUUUGUGUUUCUGUGCUGCACUGCCCCUUUUUAUGAACCUGAUCAGCUUCAGUGUGCUGAAUAGAUUCCCCCCGAUGUGUUGAUUUGUUCCAGUGACUUUUAUUUUUAAAAUAUAUACAGUGCUGAAGUUUGAUUUCUGUAAGGGCUGCUUUAACAGUUUUGUUCUGUUCCUGGCUUGUAUGGUAAGACAGUGGCAGUUUUAUUUUUAAAUAAACCUCUUCAACACAC